UACAGAGGGGGCAAGCGUUGUUCGGAAUUACUGGGCGUAAAGGGCGCGUAGGCGGCUCGACAAGUCCCGGGUGAAAGCCCACGGCUCAACCGUGGAGGGUCAUUGGAAACUGGGGAGCUUGAGUGCAGGAGAGAAGAGUGGAAUUCCACGUGUAGCGGUGAAAUGCGUAGAGAUGUGGAGGAACACCAGUGGCGAAGGCGACUCUUUGGCCUGUAACUGACGCUGAGGCGCGAAAGCGUGGGGAGCAAACAGG
rnacentral:rRNA from 1 species